CACGUAGGGGACGAGCGUUGUCCGGAUUCAUUGGGCGUAAAGCGCGCGUAGGCGGCUCGGAAAGUCGGUCGUGAAAUGCCGGGGCUCAACCCCGGACUGCGUCCGAUACUUCCGGGCUGGAGGUAGGUAGGGGAGAUCGGAAUUCCUGGUGUAGCGGUGAAAUGCGCAGAUAUCAGGAGGAACACCGGUGGCGAAGGCGGAUCUCUGGGCCUUACCUGACGCUGAGGCGCGAAAGCUAGGGGAGCGAACAGG
rnacentral:rRNA from 1 species